rnacentral:rRNA from 1 species
UACAGAGACUGCAAGCGUUAUUCGGAUUCACUGGGCGUAAAGGGUGCGCAGGCGGCCAAGUGUGUGAGGCGUGAAAGCCCGAGGCUCAACCUCGGAAUUGCACCUCAAACUACAUGGCUAGAGCAUUGGAGAGGGUAGCAGAAUUCAUGGUGUAGCAGUGAAAUGCGUAGAUAUCAUGAGGAAUACCAGAGGCGAAGGCGGCUACCUGGACAAUUGCUGACGCUCAGGCACGAAAGCGUGGGGAGCAAAAGGGAUUAGAUACCCCUGUAGUCCACGCCCUAAACGGUGCAUACUAGGUCUUGGCGGAUUCGACCCCACCAGGGCCCAAGCUAACGCGAUAAGUAUGCCGCCUGAGGACUACGGCCGCAAGGCUA